rnacentral:rRNA from 1 species
AACGAACGAUGGCGGCAUGCCUAACACAUGCAAGUCGAACGAGAUCUUCGGGUCUAGUGGCGCACGGGUGCGUAACGCGUGGGAAUCUGCCCUUUGGUUCGGAAUAACAGUUGGAAACGACUGCUAAUACCGGAUGAUGACGAAAGUCCAAAGAUUUAUCGCCAGAGGAUGAGCCCGCGUAGGAUUAGCUAGUUGGUGUGGUAAAGGCGCACCAAGGCGACGAUCCUUAGCUGGUCUGAGAGGAUGAUCAGCCACACUGGGACUGAGACACGGCCCAGACUGCUACGGGAGGCAGCAGUGGGGAAUAUUGGACAAUGGGCGAAAGCUUGAUCCAGCAAUGCCGCGUGAGUGAUGAAGGCCUUAGGGUUGUAAAGCUCUUUUACCCGGGAUGAUAAUGACAGUACCGGGAGAAUAAGCUCCGGCUAACUCCGUGCCAGCCGCCGCGGUAA